rnacentral:rRNA from 1 species
AUGAACGCUAGCGGCAGGCCUAACACCUGCCAGUCGAGGGAGGAGCCUUCGGGCUUCGACCGGCGUACGGGUGCGUAACGCGUAUACAAUCUGCCUUUCACAUAGGGAUAGCCCGAAGAAAUUUGGAUUAAUACCUAAUGGUAUAUAGAUGUGGCAUCACCUUUAUAUUAAAGCUGAGGCGGUGAAAGAUGAGUAUGCGUUCUAUUAGCUAGUUGGAGAGGUAACGGCUCCCCAAGGCGACGAUAGAUAGGGGUUCUGAGAGGGAUAUCCCCCACACUGGUACUGAGAUACGGACCAGACUCCUACGGGAGGCAGCAGUGAGGAAUAUUGGACAAUGGUCGGAAGACUGAUCCAGCCAUGCCGCGUGCAGGAAGACGGCCUUAUGGGUUGUAAACUGCUUUUGCAGGGGAAGAAUAAGGACUACGCGUAGUUUGAUGACGGUACUCUGCGAAUAAGCAUCGGCUGACUCCGUG